CAACAACAAGCCUUAAACAAGUAGAGGAAGAAGGGAAGGGCAUUUCAGGAAGUUAGAAGGUAGUGAACAAAGGCAUGAAGCUAGGUAAUACAGGAAGAGAGUGAACACUCCUGAGGGGGUGAGGGCUGAGCCAAGAGUCUAACUGGAUAAACGCUAACAGAAUGUACCCCUAGACUAACAAGACGAACACUGCCAUCCAUAAAAUGAGAAGAGCUAGAAUCUCUAGCUGAGAAUACCAGAAAGUAACAUUUUUAUCCAGCAGUCGGUACAUUCAAGAGGCAUCACUAAACAAAACAUGGUGACUUGGAUAUUAAGGGUGGA